UAGCGCAUGAACCUUCGGGGGAUUAUGCUAACGGACGGCGGCGGACGGGUGAGUAACGCGUAGGCAACCUGCCCCUGACAGAGGGAUAGCCAUUGGAAACGAUGAUUAAAACCUCAUGACACCGUAGAAGCACAUGCUUCAUCGGUCAAAGAUUUAUCGGUCAGGGAUGGGCCUGCGUCUGAUUAACUAGUUGGUGAGGUAACGGCUCACCAAGGUGACGAUCAGUAGCCGACCUGAGAGGGUGAUCGGCCACAUUGGAACUGAGACACGGUCCAAACUUCUACGGAAGGCAGCAGUAGGGAAUCUUGCACAAUGGGCGAAAGCCUGAUGCAGCAACGCCGCGUGAAGGAUGAAGGCCUUCGGGUUGUAAACUUCUGUUCUAAGGGAAGAAACAAAUGACGGUACCUUAGGAGCAAGCCCCGGCUAACUACGUGCCAGCAGCCGCGGUAAUACGUAGGGGGCAAGCGUUAUCCGGAAUUAUUGGGCGUAAAGAGUGCGUAGGUGGUUACCUAAGCGCAAGGUUUAAUUUAGAGGCUCAACCUCUACUUGCCUUGCGAACUGGGCUACUUGAGUGCAGGAGGGGAAAGCGGAAUUCCUAGUGUAGCGGUGAAAUGCGUAGAUAUUAGGAGGAACACCAGCGGCGAAGGCGGCUUUCUGGACUGUAACUGA
rnacentral:rRNA from 1 species